GCCUGGAUAGUUCAGUUGGUUAGAGUGCGGUGCUGAUAAGGCCAAGGUUGCAGGAUCAAUUAUGGGACAGCUGUAUAUUCCUGCAUUGCAGGGA